UCAGCUGAAGAUUUUGAGCCAGCUCUAAUUCCUGCUGAGACUAUUCCGGAUCCAAAUGAUAAGAAGCCAGAGGAUUGGGAUGAAAGGGCAAAGAUUCCAGACCCAGAUGCAGUGAAGCCAGAUGAUUGGGAUGAGGAUGCACCCAUGGAGAUUGAAGAUGAGGAAGCUGUCAAGCCUGAAGGGUGGUUGGAUGAUGAGCCUGAGGAGAUCGAUGAUCCUGAUGCUUCAAAGCCAGAAGAUUGGGAU
rnacentral:lncRNA from 1 species